rnacentral:tRNA from 1 species
GCGCGGUUAGCUCAGUUGGUAGAGCGUCCCCUUGACGUGGGGAAGGUCACAGGUUCGAAUCCUGUAUCGCGCACCA